rnacentral:rRNA from 1 species
UACAGAGGGUGCGAGCGUUAAUCGGAAUUACUGGGCGUAAAGCGCACGUAGGCGGCUUGGUAUGUCGGGUGUGAAAUCCCCGGGCUCAACCUGGGAACUGCAUCCGAAACUGCCUUGCUCGAGUAUGGGAGAGGGAAGUGGAAUUUCCGGUGUAGCGGUGAAAUGCGUAGAGAUCGGGAGGAACAUCUGUGGCGAAGGCGACUGCCUGGACCAGCACUGACACUGAGGCACGAAAGCGUGGGGAGCAAACAGG